rnacentral:rRNA from 1 species
AUUGAACGCUGGCGGCAGGCUUAACACAUGCAAGUCGAGCGGAGCGAGGGUGCUUGCACCUUAGCUUAGCGGCGGACGGGUGAGUAAUGCUUAGGAAUCUGCCUAUUAGUGGGGGACAACAUUCCGAAAGGAAUGCUAAUACCGCAUACGCCCUACGGGGGAAAGCAGGGGAUCUUCGGACCUUGCGCUAAUAGAUGAGCCUAAGUCGGAUUAGCUAGUUGGUGGGGUAACGGCUCACCAAGGCGACGAUCCGUAGCUGGUCUGAGAGGAUGAUCAGCCACACUGGAACUGAGACACGGUCCAGACUCCUACGGGAGGCAGCAGUGGGGAAUAUUGGACAAUGGGCGAAAGCCUGAUCCAGCCAUGCCGCGUGUGUGAAGAAGGUCUUCGGAUUGUAAAGCACUUUAAGUUGGGAGGAAGGGUUGUAAGCUAAUAUCUUGCAGCUUUGACGUUACCAACAGAAUAAGCACCGGCUAACUCUGUGCCAGCAGCCGCCGUAAUAC